rnacentral:rRNA from 1 species
UUGAACGCUGGCGGCAUGCUUUACACAUGCAAGUCGAACGGCAGCGCGGGCUUCGGCCUGGCGGCGAGUGGCGAACGGGUGAGUAAUACAUCGGAACGUGCCCAGUAGUGGGGGAUAGCUCGGCGAAAGCCGGAUUAAUACCGCAUACGACCUGAGGGUGAAAGCGGGGGAUCUUCGGACCUCGCGCUAUUGGAGCGGCCGAUGGCAGAUUAGCUAGUUGGUGGGGUAGAGGCCUACCAAGGCGACGAUCUGUAGCUGGUCUGAGAGGACGACCAGCCACACUGGGACUGGGACACGGCCCAGACUCCUACGGGAGGCAGCAGUGGGGAAUUUUGGACAAUGGGCGAAAGCCUGAUCCAGCAAUGCCGCGUGUGUGAUGAAGGCCUUCGGGUUGUAAAGCACUUUUGGCGGGAACGAAAAGGACUGUGCCAAUACCACGGUUCGAUGACGGUACCCGCAGAAUAAGCACCGGCUAACUACGUG